AGGGACACUGGGAAGAAAGAACGCGGGAAGAAAACCUGCUCUUGCCUCUGUCACUUCCCUGAAAUUUCCUAAAAGCCCGGUUCUUCUUCAUUCUUUCUUUAAAAGCAAGAGAACACUGUCAUCUCAUAGGUCAGCGAGACAGAACAUUGGUGAGAAGGUAUCUCCUGUUCAAGGAUGCAGGCCAUCUCCGGGAGAGCUGGGGACAGAGAACUUUGGCAAAGGUAUCAGAGCUCACUGUUUACACCGGUUUAACAUUCACAUUCUGAGAAAUGAGCCUUCAUCAGAGGUUUUUCGUCCCAGGCAGUCGGCGCCUGUGGGGAUGGCGCAUGCCCGGUGCCUGACUGCCAUCUUCCUUUGACCCCCUACUCUCAGAUGAGAACACCGACCCGCUCCUGUGUCUACAGCACCCCUGGAAAUUAACUACCAUCCCAAAGCCUAGGGACAAGAACAACUUGACUCAGGCUAGAGAGAUGGCUCAGAGGUUAGGAGUACUGGCUGCUCUUCCAGAGGUCCUAAGUUCAAUUCUCAGCAACCACGUGGCUCAUGACCAUCUAUAAUAAGACCUGGUGCCCUCUACUGGCCUUCAGGCAUAUGUGCCAAUAAAACACCGUACACGUAAUAAAUAAAUCUUAAG